rnacentral:rRNA from 1 species
UACGUAGGGUGCGAGCGUUGUCCGGAAUUAUUGGGCGUAAAGGGCCCGUAGGCGGUUUGUCGCGUCGGGAGUGAAAUCCACUGGCUUAACUGGUGGCUUGCUUUCGAUACGGGCAGACUGGAGGUAUGCAGGGGAGAACGGAAUUCCUGGUGUAGCGGUGAAAUGCGCAGAUAUCAGGAGGAACACCGGUGGCGAAGGCGGGUCUCUGGGCCGAUACUGACGCUGAGGAGCGAAAGCGUGGGGAGCGAACAGG